GUUAUACAAAUUGUUAUUAUUACAAUUAGAUGGAUAAAGUGAAUAAGCGAACAAUUAAAAUUAAAUAUUAAAUUUUGUUUAAUUUUAUAUCCGUGAAUCCUAUUUUGUUACUCUGGCCCAAGAUGACAGUUUGCUUCCACAAGGAACGUCAUAUAUUUUUAACAUUAACAUGUUUUGUUCAUGCAUGUUCCUUUGCAUAUGCAUUUUUUGUAAAGUUCCUAAAUAUUCUAAAACAAUUGUCCUCCCACAUUAUGUUUACUUCCGAUAACUUCAAUUUCAAUGAGCAUACUGGGCUGUAAUAAAUGAAUUACUGACAUGCUAAGUACAGGAGAUUAACAGAUUAAAUAAGCCUGAUUUUUUACAAAUAGUUAAAAUAUUAAGUUUUUAUUUCAAUAACUAUUCAACUUUUUAUGUUCAUUUGAGAUAUAAGUUAUAUUGAUUU
rnacentral:lncRNA from 1 species